GGUAUUAAGACUGCUCCAGAGAGAAAUAAAGAAGCUUAACGAAUGGAAAUGGCACUAAUUAUUGAAAUGCAUCUCUAUAGCUGAUCUAAAAUCUGACCAAAGUAGCAAACAGACGCGUCGUGCCCUUGAUUCUGCAUGAGAUUUAAUCUCAGAAACAUCCAGGUCCAAGAGACUACCUCUCACAUCAGUACAAGUGGCAUGUUUAGAAUACCUGAAUAUCAUUACAUGACUAGGCAGGCAAAGAGUGAUAAGUUCAGCAAACUCAAAUCACAGUGCUUUCAGAAUACGUAGUCAUUAGUAAUUUUCAGAGAAGGCAUCGCUUCAUUAACGUUUUGAUCUAAACGAUGAUAUUCUACUGUUCUGGAGCACAGCCCAUCCCUCCAUCUUCGGCUCUGGACCAAUAAGAAGAUCUUCCUCUUAUUGUGAUAGGUGACAUAAACAACAGCUACUAAGAAGGCAACUAUAACCAGAUGAAAAAAGAAAUGGCUGUCCUCUUCUUCUUCCAACCCUGAGACAGACACAUACUUUAUCUUUUCAUCCAGCGACUUGAUCUCCUCGUUGUAAUUACUGAUGGUGUCAGAGUCAUCAUCUUCUGGCAUUUCGAGGAGGUCUGGGUUGUACCUGGAAUUUGAUGUCAUUUCAAAAGUAUCAUAGUCAUCGCCAUCUGAAUCCAUAAUUUCUUUUUCUAUGGGUGGUGAACUAUUCAGUGUGUCUUUCAAAUCUGUGAGAAGAUCUUCCUCCUCGAUUUUAGUAUCCUCAGAAGCAUCAACAUCCACCUGAGAUACAGGACUAGCAGUCACCACAUGAGAAACAUAGGGUGGAGAGUCAUCUUUUGCUGUGGAUGGUUUCCCUAUAGUCACAGAACUGAUUUUAGCUGCUGUGGGGCUCGUCUCUUUUUUUGCUGGGGUUACACUCUGCCAGUUGUCUGUCAAAUUUUGGGAGCUGCUGAGUGUUUCAUUCUCAUGUCCAGAAGAAACAUUCUGAACCAGCUCUGUUCUCACAGCACCGGAGGCCUGCAGGCCGCGUGCCGCCAUGGCCCAGCCGCACAGAAGGACGAGGCAGAGCGCGCGGCCCGCCGCGGAGCGCCCGUCACCGGCGGCCGCCAUCUUCCCGGGCACUCCCACAGACGUGGCGACAGCACCGCCCCCCGCGCCGGGAGAGCAGCGCGCAUGCGCAGGAGAGAAGGCCUGCGCGCCGGAAGUGAACCCACCGCGCAUGCGCGGAGGCGGAUGAGGACGCGCAGGCGCUCUGCAGAGCGGUCGGGCUGUUGCAAGUUGGAACGGAGGGGCCGGGAAGGCGGAAACGCGCCCAGCCCUGAUAGAAAGAGGAGCGGCCCUUCCUUCCGCUGCAGGGUGGCUCCGUCCGGCCGCUGCCCUCCGAAGCAAAGUGCCACCGCCAUGCGUGGCGCUCAGCGCUGCCCCCAGGAAUGCCAAGCAGAUCUAUGGACUUCAGCAGGAGGGGAAUAAGCGCUCGGCCUUAUCCCCGACAGUCAUGGCAGCUGGCGGUUGAUGCCCCAACCCUGACAUGUAUUUCAAGAGGCAUUUUAAUAACGCCCUCAGUAGCUUCUGGUUAUCCCUGAAGCAGCUGUUUGUUGCUUUCACCAAUCUGGUCAUAGAGGGUGAUAGAACUGUAUUUUCUACUAUAGAAUCAUGGAAUUGCUCAGCUUAGAAAUGACCUUAAAGCUCAUCGAGUCCAACCUUAACCUAACCGUCCUACCCUAACUAACAGCCCUCUGCUCAAUCACGGCCCUGAGCACCACAUCCAAACAGCUUUUAAACACAUCCAGGAUGGUGACUCAACCACCUCCCUGGGCAGCCCAUUCCAGCGCUAAACAACCCUUUCUGUAAAGAAGUGUUUCCUGAUAUCCAACCUAAAAUCACCUUGGUGCCACCUGAGGCCAUUUCCCCUCAUUCUGUCACCAGUGAGAAGAGACCAACGCCGCUCUCGCUGUAAGCACCCUUCAGAUACUGCCCUUACUGAGCUCUUUGGCACGUACUACUAAGAAAAGUACUAAAAUGCUGCCCUGCAGAUCCAAAAAAUCAGUACAAAAAUACCUUCCCAGUUAACACACAAAGUCAACGUAAAAGGUGAUAUUUCAAUAUUUUAUUCAAGUUGGGUUUGAUUUUUUUUAUCCAGUCUUAGUAGUGUCAGGUACAGCACUUUGGGGUCUAUUUCCACACAAAAUGGAAGACUCUAAAAAUGUACCCAUUUAGUUGCUAAAAAAAAGUGGUAAUAAAACAAAAGUCCAUUUUAAAUUUAGUGAUGCAACUAUGUGAUUGCAGUUACAAACACUCUUCCCUGAUUACGGCCCUGUCUUACAAGCUUUCCAGUCAGUGCAAGGGAAAGGAACCACAGCACAGGACAAGUAGUAUUGGCUGAGUCACAUCAAACCUUCUCGGCAACAGUUACACAAAGUAGACAACCUAAAGCGUUCUGGAGACAGCUGUAGGUGUAAAAGAACCAAAUGAGACAAACCAUUUGUGAAACAUCCAUCGGAACAAAAAUAUAAUCCCUUUUUUCAGGCAAGUUUGCACAUUCC
rnacentral:lncRNA from 1 species